rnacentral:lncRNA from 1 species
CCUUAGUCCUUUUAACUUCGUGUUUAUAUUCCCCAGCACAGAAGCUUUUAUGUGAAGCCACACAGCUGAGAGACUUGAAGGGGCAGAAAGAAUACGCAGUGCUGCAAGGAAGCUCUACAUGUGAGAGACCCCAGAGAAGGAGAAACUUUCCAUCCCCAUCUGUGGGCUGUGGAGAUCAUGUCGUUUACAUAAACCUUCCUCCCCAAGUAACUCUGGCAAUUACUUAGGAGUUGUUAAAAAUAUCUUCAGAAGAUAAAAUACAAGCAAAGCCCAAACUGAGGAAACACACCAAAUGAGGCUGCAAAGAAGCCUGUAAUGUGAGUCUUGUCACAUCACCGGCUUUCUUGAGUCAACAUACGGUCACAUUUCUGAAGUGAUGGCUGUAUGUAGUGUAAUACCG